rnacentral:rRNA from 1 species
GGGAUUAGAUACCCCAGUAGUCCACACCGUAAACGAUGGGUAUUAGAUAUUAGGGCUUUAGCUUUAGUGUUGUAGCUUACGCGUUAAAUACCCCGCCUGGGUAGUACAUAUGCAAAUAUGAAACUCAAAGGAAUUGACGGGGACCUGAACAAGUGGUGGAGCAUGUUGCUUAAUUCGAUAAUACACGAAAAACCUUACCAAGGUUUGACAUCCCUCGCAAAGCUAUAGAAAUAUAGUAGAGGUUAUCGAGGUGACAGGU